GUGUCAGCAGCCGCGGUAAAACGUAGGUCCCGAGCGUUGUUCGGAUUCACUGGGUGUAAAGGGCGCGUAGGUGGUUGUCUGUGUCUCAUGUGAAAACUCAGGGCUCAACUCUGAGAUUACGUGGGAAACUAGGCAGCUAGAGGACGGUAGAGGGGAGUGGAAUUCCCGGUGUAGCGGUAAAAUGCGUAGAUACCGGGAGGAACACCGGUGGCGAAGGCGACCUUCUGGCCUGUUACUGACGCUGAGGAGCGAAAGCCAGGGGAGCAAACCGGAUUAGAUACCCGGGUAGUCCUAGCCGUAAACGAUGGGUGCUAGGUGUUGGGGGGUAAAGACCCUUCAGUGCCGAAGCCAACGCGAUAAGCAUCCCACCUGGGGAGUACGGCCGCAAGGUUGAAACUCAAAUAAAUUGGCGG
rnacentral:rRNA from 1 species